GGUCUAAUACCGGAUAGGAGCGUCCACCGCAUGGUGGGUGUUGGAAAGAUUUAUCGGUUUUGGAUGGACUCGCGGCCUAUCAGCUUGUUGGUGAGGUAAUGGCUCACCAAGGCGACGACGGGUAGCCGGCCUGAGAGGGUGACCGGCCACACUGGGACUGAGACACGGCCCAGACUCCUACGGGAGGCAGCAGUGGGGAAUAUUGCACAAUGGGCGCAAGCCUGAUGCAGCGACGCCGCGUGAGGGAUGACGGCCUUCGGGUUGUAAACCUCUUUCAGUAGGGAAGAAGCGAAAGUGACGGUACCUGCAGAAGAAGCACCGGCUAACUACGUGCCAGCAGCCGCGGUAAUACGUAGGGUGCGAGCGUUAUCCGGAAUUAUUGGGCGUAAAGAGCUCGUAGGCGGUUUGUCGCGUCUGUCGUGAAAGUCCGGGGCUUAACCCCGGAUCUGCGGUGGGUACGGGCAGACUAGAGUGCAGUAGGGGAGACUGGAAUUCCUGGUGUANNGGUGGAAUG
rnacentral:rRNA from 1 species